ACCAUUUCAGGGGCGAAGAUCGGCACCAGAUUGUAAAUAUUGCGUUGUAUGGCUGCCUUGCAACCAGGAUGUCACAGGACGCUUGUUGUACCGGGUGAAAUAUGAAGAAAACCUUUCCUCUCCUCAGUGGUGGAAGACCAUAGAAAGCCCCGACUGUCAACGGAGGAUACUUCCUGACAAACUGAUGUGAGGAUGGAGGUUUUUGAGGCCAAGUUCGAUUAUACGAAACAACGCAAAGACGUUUUAAGUUUCAAGAAAGGAGACAAGUUUUACGUUAUUGACAAACCAAAUGAGGAGUGGUGGAGUGCGAGAAAAGUAGAUGAUGACACGUAUGGAUAUGUACCCUCUAUAUAUUUGGAGAAGAGUAAGGAGCAAUUUAUUGGAAGAUUGAUACCAGAGGGAAGGCGAAACACGUCAGGAGCAGUACAAAAGAGGGAGCAUGACAUUCAUCUUCAAGCCUUAUCUGAACUCCACCAACGUGUUAAACCAUUACCAGGUAAGUAUCCAGGACAUACUUUCCUAUUUAUGGAAAUAAUGACAUUAUUAUAAUACCAUUUGAUCAUGUAUUUAUGUUUCAGUAUUCCACUGUACCAUGGUGUACUCUACUCAUUUCAUUUCUUUUUAUGUGAUUAAUUGUUGAGCAAUUGCCCUACCCAUUUAGCCUUCCAUUGACCAGUCUAUUAUAUUAUGAUUAAUGAUUGCAAUUGCUAUAUUCUCUCUUGAUAAGUAUUUAUGAUAUACUUUUAAUGUCACUUCCAUUAAUUUUAUGAUAAUUGUAAUUCAGUAAUUUCAUUUCAAUUUCCUUUCUAUUUCCAAACUUAAGUUUUAUAUGACUCUCAGAUUGAUACUCCUGCGUAGGUAUAUAUGAGAUAAUUAUCUGGUGGGUGUUUCAUAAAGCUGUUCAUGAAUUACGAAUGAAUAACACACAACUAAUGUCCCUUUCUUGUGCUAAAUGGUAUAAUUAUAUCAUCCCUGUAACUGACUUAUCACCUAACAACAUGCUGUAGUUGUGCGUAAGUUGUAACUUAUGAAUAGCUUCACGAAACACCCACAUGGAAUGACCUAUCUAGUAAUUUGAUAAUUAUCGUGAUUCAUUAUGAAUAUGCAGGAAAAUAAAUAAAACCCUAAUAACUGAUUAUAGCCAUAAUAUAAUAUUCAACCUUUUAUUUCAGAUUAUCUUCAGGAACUGUUUUUAUUAAAGUGAACUGAACUGAAUCAAUUAAGUAACAUAUAUAAGAAGAAUAUAAAACUAAAGAAACAUGAACUUGAAUACAUGAUUGAAAAAUGCAUUGGAUUGAAUAACGCUAACAAAAGCUGAUGAAUAGUAAUUAACAAAACAAAAAUAAAAUAAAAAACAUGUAAAAUUGAUGCACAAGUUUAAUUGGUAUUGGAUGUUGCAGAAUUAAUGAUUGUAAAUUUAAUAAUUUGAUUUGAUUAUGUCCCAACAAUAUUCAAAUUUUUACAGGUUAUAAUGAAACAAAUAAGAGGGUUCAUGCAUAUGCAUAUUUACAUGUAAGCAAGGGUGACUCCAUUGAUGGAGGCAGGGGGUGGGGGAAGCAAGUUGUUCUUAAAAAUUAGAUUUUUAUGGAUUAAAUAAGAGGAGUAAUUAUGAGACACAUAACCAGAGACCCCUAUUUUCUUUCUUUUUUCUUCCUUUGUUGUUUCUCUUUUCUGCGCUUUCUUCUAUUUUCCCUUGUAUUUUGGGGGUACAUGUAUAUGUAGCUUGUUCCAAUUAAGGUGAGGAUCCUUCGCAUGAACAUAUAUCAUUUGAAGAAGAAAAAUUGUCAUGCAUUACAUAGGUAUUGACUAUUGAGCCAGGAGAGGGGGUACUUGAAUUAUAACAUGAUGAAGUGCCGUGCCAAAGUCGAAAAUAUGGGUCUCUAGAAACUAUAUCUAGGUCUUAAAACAGGGCUCUCCGGAAUGGCUCUUGGAUCAACGAUUGCUAAAAUUGCAAUGUUCUGGAACUGACCACAUAAAAAAGGGGAUUCUCCAGAACUCGUUAGAUCGUAGGCGUAAUUGGUAGCGGCUACCU